AUGUCUGCGGUGGACUCUUGGCACUUUUGUGCCAAGUUGGCCCGCCAGUUCAUGAAGGGUUGGGGGGCUAACCUAGGCCGGGACCUAAGAGAGCGCAAGAAGUCCAUCUUGACCGCCAUUCAAGCUCUGGAUGCGCGUGCGGACUCGACUGGGCUCUCCCCGGACGAGUGGCUGCUUCGCUACGACCUGGAGGAUCAACUUUCCUUCAUCUACGCAGAUGAGGAGGCUUACUGGCGCGUGAGGGGAACUCAGAGAUGGGUGCUUCAGGGCGACGCCAACACCGCC
rnacentral:rRNA from 1 species